rnacentral:rRNA from 1 species
AAUUGGAGGGCAAGUCUGGUGCCAGCAGCCGCGGUAAUUCCAGCUCCAAUAGCGUAUAUUAAAGUUGUUGCAGUUAAAAAGCUCGUAGUUGAAUUUCGGGAUUGACACAUCGGUCGUGCCUUAAGGGGUAUGAACUGGCGUAGUCAAUUUCUCACCUUCUGGAGAACCGCGAUGCCCUUAAUUGGGUGUCACGGGGAACCAGGACCUUUACUUUGAAAAAAUUAGAGUGUUUAAAGCAGGCAUUUUGCUUGAAUACAUUAGCAUGGAAUAAUAAAAUAGGACGGCAUGAUUCUAUUUUGUUGGUUUCUAGGAUCACCGUAAUGAUUAAUAGGGAUAGUUGGGGGCAUUAGUAUUCAAUUGUCAGAGGUGAAAUUCUUGGAUUUAUUGAAGACUAACUACUGCGAAAGCAUUUGCCAAGGAUGUUUUCACUAAUCAAGAACGAAAGUUAGGGGAUCGAAGACGAUCAGAUACCGUCGUAGUCUUAACCAUAAACUAUGCCGACUAGGAAUCAGACGAUGUUAAUUUUUUAAUGACUCGUUUGGCACCUUACGGGAAACCAAAGUGU